CGGGGGGGGGCAAGCGUUGUUCGGAAUUACUGGGCGUAAAGGGUUUGUAGGUGGCUUGUUAAGUCAGACGUGAAAUCCCUCAGCUUAACUGGGGAACUGCGUCUGAUACUGGCGAGCUUGAGUGCAGGAGAGGAACGCGGAAUUCCAGGUGUAGCGGUGAAAUGCGUAGAUAUCUGGAGGAACACCGGUGGCGAAGGCGGCGUUCUGGACUGCAACUGACACUGAAAAACGAAAGCCAGGGUAGCAAACGGGAUUAGAUACCCCGGUAGUCCUGGCCCUAAACGAUGAAUGCUUGGUGUGGCGGGUAUCGAUCCCUGCCGUGCCGAAGUUAACGCGAUAAGCAUUCCGCCUGGGGAUACGGUCGCAAGGCUG
rnacentral:rRNA from 1 species